UACGUAGGGUGCGAGCGUUGUCCGGAAUUAUUGGGCGUAAAGAGCUCGUAGGCGGUUUGUCGCGUCUGCUGUGAAAGCCCGAGGCUCAACCUCGGGCCUGCAGUGGGUACGGGCAGACUAGAGUGCGGUAGGGGAGAUUGGAAUUCCUGGUGUAGCGGUGGAAUGCGCAGAUAUCAGGAGGAACACCAAUGGCGAAGGCAGAUCUCUGGGCCGUAACUGACGCUGAGGAGCGAAAGCAUGGGGAGCGAACAGG
rnacentral:rRNA from 1 species